UUUGGGGCAAAUAUUGUUGUUUUAUGAAUAUUGUGACCCUGAGAUGAUAUUGGCUUAUUGGGUUAAGUUACCCUAGGGAUAACAGUGUGAUGAUUAAUUAGAGGUCUUAUCGAAUUAAUUGUUUGCCACCUCGAUGUUGACUUAGGCUAAGGUUUUGGGGUAGUAAUUGAUAUUUUAGGUCUGUUCGACCUUUGAGCCUCCAUGAGUUGAGUUAAGACCGGCGUGAGCCAGGUCGGUUCUUAUCUAUUGUAGAAGUUUAUCAGUACGAAAGGACAGUAAAUUUUUUUGAC
rnacentral:rRNA from 1 species